UACAGAGGUGGCAAGCGUUGUUCGGAAUUACUGGGCGUAAAGGGCGCGUAGGCGGCUUUCUAAGUCAGACGUGAAAUCCCCCGGCUUAACCUGGGAACUGCGUCUGAUACUGGGAGGCUUGAAUGCGGGAGAGGGAUGUAGAAUUCCAGGUGUAGCGGUGAAAUGCGUAGAUAUCUGGAGGAAUACCGGUGGCGAAGGCGGCAUCCUGGACCGACAUUGACGCUGAGGCGCGAAAGCUAGGGUAGCAAACGGG
rnacentral:rRNA from 1 species